CUUGACACUUUCACUUCCUUUGCUACAAGGUGAAGUGGCCAUCAGGCUCGUGCAGGAGACUCUCCCCACGGCGUUUCCUGACACUUGAGCCUCCAAGGGCCCUCGUUAGGUGCUUGUCUUCAAGAUGAUCGGCCUGCUCUCCCCUGCGCUGUUGAGGUGGGGCCAUGAGGCUUAGAGAGGUUAAGCAACUUGCCUGAAGCCACAAUGCUUGUGAGUGACAGAGUAGAGCUCCAGUGCCCCUUCGACACUAUCCUUCAGCGCCUGGAGAGAGCCCUUCACAAGCACGUGUAUGGGCGGUGGAGGAUGAAGUCACAGCACACAGCUCCAAGAGAAGCUUUGAGUCAUGUUACAUCCAUUUAACACACGGAGGAACCCACAGGCCUGGAGCAGUCAGCUGGCCCGAGGAAUAAGCCAGUCUCCUCGGGGCUGGACAACCUUCAAAGCUCAGCGUGUGCAGCCUAGUCACCUUGCUUGAACCAGGCUGCCUCACCAGAAUUUGAAAAUGUCUAUCUGCACUUCAGUCAA